UCCUCCGUGGCGCAAUUGGCUAGCGCGUCUGACUGUUACUCAUUAAUUCGUAAAGGUUGAAAGUUCGAGCCUUUCCGGGGGAG